rnacentral:precursor_RNA from 10 species
AUAUUAAGCAAAUUACUGUUUAUCGUGGAUUAUAUGAAGAUGUAAGCUAUUCUAUAUUGAAUAGUUUGUUUCUUUGUAUUAACCACGAUCGACGCUUUCAUCGUCACAGUGU